rnacentral:sRNA from 1 species
CCUCUUCCACCUGCUGGGGGCAGAUGAAGUGGAUGUGCGCAUCGAUGCCACCGGCGGUGAGGAUCUUGCCCUCGCCGGCGAUGAUCUCGGUGCCGGGGCCGAUGACGAUAUCGACGUCCGGCUGGGUGUCGGGGUUGCCGGCCUUGCCGAUAGCGUCGAUGCGCCCACCCUGAAUCCCCACGUCGGCCUUGACGAUGCCCCACCAAUCGAGAAUCAGCGCAUUGGUGAUCACGGUGUCCAUCACCGCGUCGUCGUGGCGUUGGCUCUGGCCCAUGCCGUCGCGG